GACGACAUGUCAUUCAAGUGUCUGAUCUAUCAACUUUCUAUAUAAGUAUAUAGUACUUAUAUGGUUUUGACGGAUAACGGAGUAUCAGGGUACGACUCCGGAGAAAAUGCCUGAGAAACGGCGUUUACAUCCAAGGAAGGCAGCAGGCGCGAAAAUUACCCACUCUCAGUUCGAGGAGGUAGUGACGAGAAAUGACAAGAUCUAUUCCUUCGGGGAUGGAUCAUUGGAAUGGUUUGAUUUUAAAACCAUUAAAGAGUAUCAAUGAGAGGGCAAGUCUGGUGCCAGCAGCCGCGGUAAUUCCAGCUCUCAUACUGCAUUGAAUUGUUGUUGCGGUUAAAAAGCUCGUAGUUGGAUCUGUACACGAUAGGGUGGUUCGUCCUUUGGAUGGUAACUACUACUAAGUGUUUUUUAAUAGAUUUUGUGCUUUCCGUUAAAAGAGAGUACAUGUCUAUUAAGUUUACUUUGAAUAAAUCAGAGUGCUCAAAACAGGCGUAAGCUUGUAUGGUUUUGCAUGGAAUAAUAGAACAUGACUAUGGUUCAUGUUUUAUUGGUUUUACUUACCUUAGUAAUGAUUAAAAGGAACAAACGGGGGCAUCCGUAUCGCAGGGCGAGAGGUGAAAUUC
rnacentral:rRNA from 1 species